rnacentral:rRNA from 1 species
UACGGAGGAUGCGAGCGUUAUCCGGAUUUAUUGGGUUUAAAGGGUGCGUAGGCGGACGCUUAAGUCAGCGGUAAAAUUGCGGGGCUCAACCUCGUCGAGCCGUUGAAACUGGGUGCCUUGAGUGGGCGAGAAGUACGCGGAAUGCGUGGUGUAGCGGUGAAAUGCAUAGAUAUCACGCAGAACUCCGAUUGCGAAGGCAGCGUGCCGGCGCCCAACUGACGCUGAAGCACGAAGGCGUGGGUAUCGAACAGG